UAAACUCCUGUUGUUGAGGAAGAUAAUGACGGUACUCAACAAGGAAGUGACGGCUAACUACGUGCCAGCAGCCGCGGUAAAACGUAGGUCACAAGCGUUGUCCGGAAUUACUGGGUGUAAAGGGAGCGCAGGCGGGAAGACAAGUUGGAAGUGAAAUCCAUGGGCUCAACCCAUGAACUGCUUUCAAAACUGUUUUUCUUGAGUAGUGCAGAGGUAGGCGGAAUUCCCGGUGUAGCGGUGGAAUGCGUAGAUAUCGGGAGGAACACCAGUGGCGAAGGCGGCCUACUGGGCACCAACUGACGCUGAGGCUCGAAAGUGUGGGUAGCAAACAGGAUUAGAUACCCUGGUAGUCCACACCGUAAACGAUGAUUACUAGGUGUUGGAGGAUUGACCCCUUCAGUGCCGCAGUUAACACAAUAAGUAAUCCACCUGGGGAGUACGACCGCAAGGUUGAAACUCAAAGGAAUUGACGGGGGCCCGCACAAGCAGUGGAGUAUGUGGUUUAAUUCGACGCAACGCGAAGAACCUUACCAAGUCUUGACAUCCCUUGACGAUGCUGGAAACAGUAUUUCUCUUCGGAGCAAGGAGACAGGUGGUGCAUGGUUGUCGUCAGCUCGUGUCGUGAGAUGUUGGGUUAAGUCCCGCAACGAGCGCAACCCUUAUGGUCAGUUACUACGCAAGAGGACUCUGGCCAGACUGCCGUUGACAAA
rnacentral:rRNA from 1 species